UGUAGGACCUAUCAAAACAUUUGUUUCACCCAUUGAAGUCACCCGGCACAGGCCUUGCUACCCCAGAGGCUGCUCAUUUGCUGUGGGACGGAGCCCCCCGAGCCCCGCUGCCUGCCAGGGGGUCAGCUCGGGGCACAGCCCGCCAGCCGGGCUGGAGCCUCCCUUCCCGGCAGAGCGGUGCGGCCAGCUGGCUCCCCACGGCUCCAGCACCUGUCUGAGCCACCAUGGGAAGGUGCCAGCUCCUCCAGCUUCCUCCUCAGUGCUUGUUUACAAGCACUUGAUCCCAAAGGCUGUCUGAGGACAUGUCCUUAUGUGGGCCACACAGACUGCUACGUGCAGUUGAUCCAAAACUUCAGGUGACCAGGAAGAUACAAGUGGGAAGGAUUAGCGCCCAUGUGCACGGUUUCCUUUGUUUUGUCCCGUGCCACCUUGUUAUCAGCCGCUGCCCAGGGCAGGAUGCUGGGCAAGACAUUCCACACUGUGACCCAAUUCAGAUACUCUUGACAAGCUUGUGAUCUGGCAGGUCCAGACAUGGAUACUCCCUGAUACCUCAGCUAAUCCAUUUCCACACACCAGCUUUACACUUCAUGCAGAACUGUUCGUACACAUAAAAACAUAAUAUUUUGCUGAAAUGGACUGUUUCAUCUUUUCUCAGAAGAGGAGGCUGCAGAAAGUUCUGCCCGUGCCACGGCUGGAAACAUUCAAAUGUAUUCUUCUGAUACCAACAAAGGUGACAGCAAAGGAAGGCUCUGAUCACCAGGCAAAUAGCCCAGCAGACUUCCCGCCUUAAUGGGAUUUCAUCUGAGAGUGAGCAUUGGCCAAAACUGUGGACAUUUCAUUAAACCAAAGCAGCUGAAGCUUUUGCACAAACUUCUGGAUGUGCCACUUCUUGCUCGCAUAUUCCAGCCCCACAGCGCAGCAUCUCACUGGGGAACAUGGCAAAGCCACUUUGUGUCUAACACAGCUCUACCUUCAGCGAUUUUGUUUUUCCCAGUACAGACACAAACUUGUGGCUUCUUGUUAUAAUGUCUAUUUUUUUUCAGAAACAUGUUUGUAUGAAAUUUAUUAAUAUUCCAAAUUAGAAAUGUAAAGCAUGCAAAUUAAAGAAAGGAAAAUAAAAAGUUUUAAAAGGGUA